rnacentral:lncRNA from 1 species
AGUGGUAGUGGAGAUUUUUAUUUAUAAAGGAAGAGAACAUUUAGAUUUGCAACAAGUGUCACGAAUCUGUGAGCAGAGAAAAAGUGAUGAUGUCACCAUGACAUCAUCUAGUCAAUGAGGAGGCAUAGCUCCUAAGGCAGCAUCGACAGCGGCAACGUGGGGCUCGAGGAAGUGGCAGUGGCGACACGAAGGCUAGAAGCUAUAGUAGCACAGAGCUCGAGGCAGCAGCACAGGGCUGUGUCAGCGACAGCAACAAAGGGCUCGAGGAGCCGCACGCUGUCCAAGUCUGCCUCACACGCGGAGGCUAGUCUAUGUGCCUGGACAGCGCACUGAUGCGCGCAAGUUGUCCUACUAAGCCUCAUCGCAUAGGCGCGCGUGAAGUCAGGCAUCUAACACGACAAGACUACGCACGGGAUCCGCAUGCGUAGGGCGAGCACUGAGCCGCAUGCGCCUAACAUGCACGUCUACGCAUGGAAUUUGUGUGCAGAUUGGGCCCGACAUGGGCCCCAGGCUUAUGGGCUGUGCACUCAUGCGCACGCCCAGCU